CGCCUGCCCUGUGACGAAAGUUUAACGGCCGCGGUAUUUUGACCGUGCAAAGGUAGCGCAAUCACUCGUCUUUUAAAUGAAGACCUGUAUGAAUGGCAUGACGAGGGCUUAACUGUCUCCUUUUUCCAGUCAAUGAAAUUGAUCCCCCCGUGCAGAAGCGGGGAUACAACCAUAAGACGAGAAGACCCUAUGGAGCUUUAGACAUAAGACAGAUCUUGUCAAAUACUUCGAAAUAAAGAAACAAACUAAAAGAACCCUGCCCCAUUGUCUUUGGUUGGGGCGACCACGGGGAAACAAACAACCCCCACGCGGACUGGGAAAACAACUCUCACAACCAAGAGCCACAGCUCUAGUCAACAGAAAUUCUGACCUCAAGAUCCGGCAAUGCCGAUCAACGGACCGAGUUACCCUAGGGAUAACAGCGCAAUCCCCUUUUAGAGUCCAUAUCGACAAGGGGGUUUACGACCUCGAUGUUGGAUCAGGACAUCCUAAUGGUGCAGCAGCUAUUAAGGGUUCGUUUGUUCAACGAUUAAAGUCCU
rnacentral:rRNA from 1 species